rnacentral:rRNA from 1 species
AACCAGCACCUCAAGUGGUCAGGAUGAUUAUUGGGCCUAAAGCAUCCGUAGCCUGUUCUGUAAGUUUUCGGUUAAAUCUAUGCGCUCAACGUAUAGGCUGCCGAAAAUACUGCAGAACUAGGGAGUGGGAGAGGUAGACGGUACUCGGUAGGAAGGGGUAAAAUCCUUUGAUCUAUUGAUGACCACCUGUGGCGAAGGCGGAUUUCUGGGCUGGCACUGACGCUGAGGUGCGAAAGCUGAGGGAGCGAACAGG